CUAGUCAGAGAAGGUAAUGCCUUGUAUAAAGUCACUAAGUAUGCCUUGCAUAUAGUGAAGAUAUGAAGAAAUUAAUUAGUAAUUAAUUAUUACUCAGCUCUAACGUCAGGGAUCUAUGCGAUACCGCACAGUUACUUUAUCCUGACAUUCACGAGCCACUUUGAACUUUAAGAAAGACCUUCUCAGCAGAAGGCUCAGUGAGCUCUCUCCUUAAACACGGCCUUGACUUUAGUGGACUCGGAGCUGGCAAACAACAGAUUAGGUUGCCAAGGAAUGCCAGAUCUAGCAGACGACACUACUCCUUCUUUUUUGAAUUUCACAACCAUGGAAUCUGACCUCCAAAAAGGUAAAUAUCUCUAGUUACAGACGAACAAAAAUCUAAGGUGCACAGCCCGUUCCAACUCACCAUCCUGUCUGCACGUCUCUAAGGUAGGAGAUGAGAAAAAGCAAUUCACCGACGCAACUUUAACAAGGCAUUGGUAACAUGCCCUGUUUCAUUUUACCAGUUUUAAGGAUUGCAAACUCAACAAAACCAGUCCUUCCAUUCCUAGAUUAUAGUAGUUGUUUCCCCCAUUGUCUAAGAUAUGUGAAAUGCUUGACCCAGGACUGAAAAGUUUGCUCACCAGAAUAAAGAGGAAAUGCCAAAGCGAUGAUGAAAAUAGCUUUGAUACAUGAUGACAAGAAAGACAUUUUAUCAAGCCUGCGGGAAGAAACCUUUAGGGAUGUUUAUAACACAUGACACAGGCAAACUGUCCAUUUCCAAACAAUAGUCUCUUAAAACAAAAGGAACUUUUCUAACCCCUUAGAUUCCUAAUUACAGUGGACUCUUCCCUUUGUUCUUUCCCCAAUCCUUAGGAUCAACAAGACUUGACAUGUGAAUAGAAGGCCUCCCAGAGACUUGAGAGAAACCACAGGGAUGGUGCAGCCUCUCUGAGCUACCGUGUCCUGGAUGGGCCCGAGAAGGUUCCUGUCGUGCACAUUGAUGAGAAGGGCUUCCUGGUGCCAGGGGCUGUGAUGGGGACGUCCACAAUUGAAGUGACUGCACAAGAGCCUUUUGGGGCCAACGAAACCAUCAUUGUUGGUGUCAAGGUGAGUGCUCCCUGGCCCAGAGGGGAGUCGUGGAGACCUUGCAGCCAGAGUCCCUGCUCAGCUCCAGCACCAGUUCCAGCCAGCCGUCUCCAAUUUCCCAGCAUGUGAUGGUCUCACUGUGGAGCCAGGCUUUGACGCUGCUCUAGGAAGGCUGCGAUGUUCUCCCUCUGGACCAAGAGAAUCCGAGGGCCAGCACGACACCGACACGCUGGUGUGGCCGUGGAAGGGACUCCACCCUGGCACCCAGGUUCCAGGUCUGCGGAGCUCCCCAGGCCCCGCUCAACAGUGCUCAUCCAAGGCCAGGCCAAGGAGGCCAGGACGGGAGCCAGAACAGUUCCAGCCCGUGCCUUCGUGGAGCCUCCCGCUGCACCUGGGUCCCAGCCGUCCCGCGUCAGCCCUGGCUCGACCUGCAGCCCAGGGCUGGGUUGUGGUGUCUGCCACUUAUUCUCCCUCCUUCCGGGCCAGGCUGGCUGGGCCCUGAGCUGCAGGGCUGGCCCUCACAUGCUUCUUACUGCCCCAGGAGUGUCACUUAAAGGAGGAUCAUGAUGUCAGCUAUGUUGUAGCAUUCCCCUGACACCAAUCAGAAUUUCAAGAAAAAGAAAUUAAAUAUUUCAAUGAUACACAUAACAAGGUCUUUAAAAGCCUAAAGUUAUUAAAGGUUUUCAAACUAUAGAUGGAAAGGUCCCUUAAGAAUUGUACAGGUUUAAAUUUCUAAUAAAGUAAAUAUCAGUGUCU